rnacentral:rRNA from 1 species
GACGUAGGGCGCGAGCGUUGUCCGGAUUUAUUGGGCGUAAAGAGCUCGUAGGCGGUUUGUCACGUCUGCUGUGAAAACUGGAGGCUCAACCUCCAGCCUGCAGUGGGUACGGGCAGACUAGAGUGCGGUAGGGGAGAUUGGAAUUCCUGGUGUAGCGGUGGAAUGCGCAGAUAUCAGGAGGAACACCGAUGGCGAAGGCAGAUCUCUGGGCCGUAACUGACGCUGAGGAGCGAAAGCAUGGGGAGCGAACAGG